AACGCGAAGAACCUUACCUGGUCUUGACAUCCACGGAAGUUUUCAGAGAUGAGAAUGUGCCUUCGGGAACCGUGAGACAGGUGCUGCAUGGCUGUCGUCAGCUCGUGUUGUGAAAUGUUGGGUUAAGUCCCGCAACGAGCGCAACCCUUAUCCUUUGUUGCCAGCGGUCCGGCCGGGAACUCAGAGGAGACUACCAGUGAUAAACUGGAGGAAGGUGGGGAUGACGUCAAGUCAUCAUGGCCCUUACGACCAGGGCUACACACGUGCUACAAUGGCGCAUACAAAGAGAAGCGACCUCGCGAGAGCAAGCGGACCUCAUAAAGUGCGUCGUAGUCCGGAUUGGAGUCUGCAACUCGACUCCAUGAAGUCGGAAUCGCUAGUAAUCGUGGAUCAGAAUGCCACGGUGAAUACGUUCCCGGGUCUUGUACACACGC
rnacentral:rRNA from 1 species